rnacentral:tRNA from 4 species
GCGGGCGUAGUUCAGUGGUAGAACGUCUGCUUGCCAAGCAGAAGGUCGUGGGUUCAAAUCCCAUCGUCCGCUCCA